UCCGAUAUGGUGUAAUGGCUAGCACAGUUCGCUCUCACCGAGCAGAUCGGGGUUCGAUUCCCCGUAUCGGAGCUA